rnacentral:sRNA from 1 species
GCUGGGCACAGUGGUGCACGCCUGUAAUCCCAGCGACUCGGGAGGUUGAGGCAGGAGGAUUGCAAGUUCAAAACCAGCCUCAGCAAUUUAGUGAGGCCCUAAGCAAUUUAGUGAGACCCUGUCUCAA